rnacentral:misc_RNA from 1 species
CGCACAUUGCGCCCAUUAGUAUUCUAGUGGGCAUGCCUGUUCGAGCGUCAUUUCAACCAUCAAGCCCUAUUUGCUUGGCGUUGGGAGACUUGUAGGCCCGGCCUGCAAGCUCCUGAAAUAGAUCGGCGGAGUCGUGGCGACCCUCAGCGUAGUAAUUCUUCUCGCUUUAGGUGUCGGCGCUGGCGUUUAGCCGUUAAACCCCCUAUUUUUUUAGUCUUGACCUCGGAUCAGGUAGGAAUACCCGCUGAACUUAA